UCCAUACGGCUCUCGGGCUGGAAUGCCGGGAGUCGGAAACGCUCCGGCGCCGCAGGAUGUGGCUGCGGCCGAUUAGGUAGACGGUGGGGUAACGGCCCACCGUGCCGAUAAUCGGUACGGGUUGUGAGAGCAAGAGCCCGGAGACGGAAUCUGAGACAAGAUUCCGGGCCCUACGGGGCGCAGCAGGCGCGAAACCUUUACACUGCACGACAGUGCGAUAAGGGGACUCCGAGUGCGAGGGCAUACAGUCCUCGCUUUUCUGUACCGUAAGGUGGUACACGAAUAAGAGCUGGGCAAGACCGGUGCCAGCCGCCGCGGUAAUACCGGCAGCUCGAGUGAUGACCGAUCUUAUUGGGCCUAAAGCGUCCGUAGCCGGCCGCGCGGGUCCAUCGGGAAAUCCAACCGCUCAACGGUUGGGCGUCCGGUGGAUACCACGCGGCUUGGGACCGGAAGGCUCGAGGGGUACGUCCGGGGUAGGAGUGAAAUCCCGUAAUCCUGGACGGACCACCGAUGGCGAAAGCACCUCGAGAGGACGGAUCCGACGGUGAGGGACGAAAGCUAGGGUCUCGAACCGGAUUAGAUACCCGGGUAGUCCUAGCCGUAAACGAUGCUCGUUAGGUGU
rnacentral:rRNA from 1 species